rnacentral:lncRNA from 1 species
AAAGAUAAGUAUUUAAAAUUACAAAUUUUCUUCUAAACGCUGCCUUAGCUGCACCCCACAGAUUUUGAUAUGACGCGUCUUUAUUGUCAUUUAACUGACCUGAACAUUUCCUAAUUUUCUUGUGAUUUCCUCUUUGACCCGGGCUCUGGUUGCCCAUUCCCUGCUCCCUUGGGCGCCUGUGCCAAGCCCUGGAUGACUUCAUUUAAGCCCACAAGACCUUGAAACCGGUCCCACCUUCCUGCAAUCCCGCCACCAAGUGCUCGGCCUCGGAGGCCCCUCAUCCUCCUCGCCAGAGACAGAGGACCCGGCCCUUGGACAGAUGAUAUUUGUACUGCCGCAUCCUCAUUACAACUAUUUGCCUUGAAAUCUAAGGCCACCAAGGAGAUCUAAAAGAGACGAGAUUGCCAAGUUUCAAAAGGGCAGAACAAU